AUUAAACUCAACUUCUUUGUAGAUAAAGGAACUCCUAUAUAUUUGAAUGGGAGUUCUCCACUUGUAAGGCCUAAGCACUUCAAUAUUUGGUGCCUAGUUGUGUCCUGUACACCUCCAAAAUAUGCUUCACUCUUGCUUGGAUUAGCUUGAAAUCCAGAUGCUUUAGUGAAUUGUUUGAACUUCUGUUGCACUGCUUGUACAAAUUUCAAGUCACCUCUAACA
rnacentral:lncRNA from 1 species